rnacentral:rRNA from 1 species
ACGCUGGCGGCGUGCUUAACACAUGCAAGUCGAACGGAAAGGUCUCUUCGGAGACACUCGAGUGGCGAACGGGUGAGUAACACGUGGGCGAUCUGCCCUGCACUUCGGGAUAAGCCUGGGAAACUGGGUCUAAUACCGGAUAGGACCACGGGAUUCAUGUCCUGUGGUGGAAAGCUUUUGCGGUGUGGGAUGGGCCCGCGGCCUAUCAGCUUGUUGGUGGGGUAACGGCCUACCAAGGCGACGACGGGUAGCCGGCCUGAGAGGGUGUCCGGCCACACUGGGACUGAGAUACGGCCCAGACUCCUACGGGAGGCAGCAGUGGGGAAUAUUGCACAAUGGGCGCAAGCCUGAUGCAGCGACGCCGCGUGGGGGAUGACGGCCUUCGGGUUGUAAACCUCUUUCACCAUCGACGAAGGUUCGGGUUUUCUCGGAUUGACGGUAAAUGGAGAAGAAGCACCGGCCAACUACGUGCCAGCAGCCGCGGUAAUACGUAGGGUGCGAGCGUUGUCCGGAAUUACUGGGCGUAAAGAGCUCGUAGGUGGUUUGUCGCGUUGUUCGUGAAAUCUCACGGCUUAACUGUGAGCGUGCGGGCGAUACGGGCAGACUAGAGUACUGCAGGGGAGACUGGAAUUCCUGGUGUAGCGGUGGAAUGCGCAGAUAUCAGGAGGAACACCGGUGGCGAAGGCGGGUCUCUGGGCAGUAACUGACGCUGAGGAGCGAAAGCGUGGGGAGCGAACAGGAUUAGAUACCCUGGUAGUCCACGCCGUAAACGGUGGGUACUAGGUGUGGGUUUCCUUCCUUGGGAUCCGUGCCGUAGCUAACGCAUUAAGUACCCCGCCUGGGGAGUACGGCCGCAAGGCUAAAACUCAAAGGAAUUGACGGGGGCCCGCACAAGCGGCGGAGCAUGUGGAUUAAUUCGAUGCGACGCGAAGAACCUUACCUGGGU